CCUACGGGAGGCAGCAGUGGGGAAUAUUGGACAAUGGGGGCAACCCUGAUCCAGCCAUGCCGCGUGAGUGAUGAAGGCCUUCGGGUUGUAAAGCUCUUUUGGCGGGGACGAUGAUGACGGUACCCGCAGAAUAAGCCCCGGCUAACUUCGUGCCAGCAGCCGCGGUAAGACGAAGGGGGCAAGCGUUGUUCGGAAUUACUGGGCGUAAAGCGAGUGUAGGCGGCGAGCCAAGUCGGGUGUGAAAGCCUCGAGCUCAACUCGAGAAAUGCAUUCGGUACUGGCCUGCUAGAGGACCGGAGAGGAUAGUGGAAUUCCCAGUGUAGUGGUGAAAUACGUAGAGAUUGGGAAGAACACCAGUGGCGAAGGCGGCUAUCUGGACGGUUACUGACGCUAAGACUCGAAAGCGUGGGGAGCAAACAGGAUUAGAUACCCUGGUAGUCCACGCCGUAAACGAUGGGUGCUAGACGUUGGCGGGCUUGCUCGUCAGUGUCGCAGCUAACGCGUUAAGCACCCCGCCUGGGGAGUACGGCCGCAAGGUUGAAACUCAAAUGAAUUGACGG
rnacentral:rRNA from 1 species